GGCCGUGAUCCAUCAUCUCCCCAUCCCAUCUCUGAUACAUCUGAUUCUGAUCCAUAGAGUCAUGUGUUCUACUAGAUCCUAGGUGUUAGUCUAUUAUUCUUUCUAGGAUCUGUAUUUUGGGCCAUGUAAUGACAUUAACUAGUUGACUUUUAUAUUAUAAAAUAUGUAUUGAAACAACUAUGGUUUUAAUCAUCUUUUAAUUAUAUAUCUACUCUUUGUAAUGGUAUCAAUCAUCUCUUGAUUAUAUAUCUUCUCUUUGUUGCUAAUUCAUAUCUAUGGUACUCAAUGGCAUAUUUUGUUUUAUGAUUACUGUAUUCAGGGGGAG
rnacentral:lncRNA from 1 species